GCUGGCGGCAGGCUUAACACAUGCAAGUCGAGCGGGCGUAGCAAUACGUCAGCGGCAGACGGGUGAGUAACGCGUGGGAACGUACCUUUUGGUUCGGAACAACCCAGGGAAACUUGGGCUAAUACCGGAUAAGCCCUUACGGGGAAAGAUUUAUCGCCGAAAGAUCGGCCCGCGUCUGAUUAGCUAGUUGGUGGGGUAAUGGCCCACCAAGGCGACGAUCAGUAGCUGGUCUGAGAGGAUGAUCAGCCACAUUGGGACUGAGACACGGCCCAAACUCCUACGGGAGGCAGCAGUGGGGAAUAUUGGACAAUGGGCGCAAGCCUGAUCCAGCCAUGCCGCGUGAGUGAUGAAGGCCCUAGGGUUGUAAAGCUCUUUUGUGCGGGAAGAUAAUGACGGUACCGCAAGAAUAAGCCCCGGCUAACUUCGUGCCAGCAGCCGCGGUAAUACGAAGGGGGCUAGCGUUGCUCGGAAUCACUGGGCGUAAAGGGUGCGUAGGCGGGUCUUUAAGUCAGGGGUGAAAUCCUGGAGCUCAACUCCAGAACUGCCUUUGAUACUGAAGAUCUUGA
rnacentral:rRNA from 1 species